AUCUUUCAGCAGUGGCAGUAUCGUAGCCAAUGAGGUCCAACCGAGGUGUGAUUGUUGCUAAUUGC
rnacentral:snRNA from 1 species